GUCUGGUGCCAGCAGCCGCGGUAAUUCCAGCUCCAAUAGCGUAUAUUAAACUUGUUGCAGUUAAAAAGCUCGUAGUUGAAUUUUAGCGUGUUCGAGUUUGCCAUUCGUUUGGCUUUUUCGAGUUCGCUUUUGGGUUUUCCCUUUUUACUUUGAGAAAAUUAGAGUGUUUCAAGCAGACUUUUGUCUUGAAUACUUCAGCAUGGAAUAAUAGAGUAGGACUUUGGUUCUAUUUUGUUGGUUAUUGAACCUUAGUAAUGGUUAAUAGGAACGGUUGGGGGCAUUCGUAUUUAACUGUCAGAGGUGAAAUUCUUAGAUUUGU
rnacentral:rRNA from 1 species